rnacentral:lncRNA from 1 species
CUGUCGUCUCGGGCACCGGGUGUCCGCAUUCCCGGUGCCGCCGAGGCCGGGCAGGCACCGGCUGGAACGGGCACGGACCGGCAGGAACGGGCGGAUACAGAGCGCACACCGCCCCUGAGCAGGGUCGGGCAUGUCCCCGGUGCUCCUCAGCCGCUCAGGUACCCACCCGCCGGUCCCAGCGCCGCCUCACCUGGGCGCGGCUGCGGCGUGAGGCGAUUUCCGGUGGCGCCUCCGGGGCCUCACCUGAGGGCGUCACCUCAUCCCUCACCUCAUCCCUCACCUGGGCUCCUCCCGCCCCGAGCCAUCGCCCCGAGCGCCGGCUUCUCUCCAUGGAGACAGCAAAGGCCGUGGCUGAGCUCUGGAGCCUCGGCCCUGCUGCACGUUCAGAGCAGAAACAAAAUCCCGGCUGUGCCCUAAGUGGUGACACUGGACGUGUCUGUGGCCGAUCCCCGCCUUUCCAGCUCAGGGAUGUUGUGGAGCACAAGGUCAUCCCAACAUGGAUUUCCUCACCAAGGGAAUAACAUCUUCCUUCCAGUCAAGACCUUCCCACCUAACAAGGAUCAAGGAAUUUGCUCCAGAUUCAUUCCAGAGGCUGCAGCCUCAGCCACACAAACCUACCAGGGAAGCAAAGAAAACUCCUUCCAGGUGAGUGCAGCCUGGAAGACACAUCAGUGCCAUGGGAUACAUGAAAAUCCAUCACAGGAGGGUGAUCCCAGAGUGUCCUGGUCCAACGGGGAUGGCUGUUGUCCCCAGGAAGUGGCUGGGAGGUGGGAGUGCCUGGAAGGGCAGUGUGGGUUGGGAACAGCCUGGAGCAGUGGAUCAGGGGCCCUUUAUCAGCUGAUCUCCCAGACAUUUACAAACAGUAAUUAAACCUACACCACCCUGGGAUGUGGGGGCCACUUCUUAUCCAUGGAGCAAGAAGCCAGAGCACACCUGACCUGGAGAGAUUCCUCAUAUCCCGAGCAGAGGCUUUAGGCUGGGCUGGUUUUGUGCCUGAACACUCCCCAGAGGAACACUGAGGAUAAAGACCCAAAUGUGGGGACCCCGGGGCAGGAAUGGUGAGGGACACUCAUGUCUGCACAGCCUCCCAAGGCAGCUGAGGGAUAAAAGCUGGCCAUUUCCCCAGCCCCUGCUGGAGAGAGGCUUGUAAAAGUGCUCCCUGGAAGCCAGAACUGCCAUUCCCAGGUAUUCCAUCCUGCCACCACUUCAGAGGGAUGAAAAGGCAUGAACAGAAACUCCCUUCUCCCAAGCCCUCCCACCCCUUGGGAUCCUCAUGGGAAGAUAAAUAAUUCUAUCAGCAGAUCAUUCAAAAACAUUUAUUGUCACCAUGAAGUGACGUUUCAGGCCUGAGAUUAAGAUCAUCAAUAAAUUCCUGACCCUGGAAAAGAAUGAGCCCA